rnacentral:rRNA from 1 species
UACGUAGGGUGCAAGCGUUAAUCGGAAUUACUGGGCGUAAAGCGUGCGCAGGCGGUUGUGCAAGACCGAUGUGAAAUCCCCGGGCUUAACCUGGGAAUGGCAUUGGUGACUGCACGGCUAGAGUGUGUCAGAGGGGGGUAGAAUUCCACGUGUAGCAGUGAAAUGCGUAGAGAUGUGGAGGAAUACCGAUGGCGAAGGCAGCCCCCUGGGAUAACACUGACGCUCAUGCGCGAAAGCGUGGGGAGCAAACAGG